UCACAGGAGUCCUUUUUACUAGGACAUUGUU
rnacentral:piRNA from 1 species